rnacentral:rRNA from 1 species
UACGUAGGGUGCAAGCGUUGUCCGGAAUUAUUGGGCGUAAAGAGCUCGUAGGCGGUCUGUCGCGUCUGGUGUGAAAAUCCAGGGCUUAACCCUGGACCUGCAUCGGGUACGGGCAGACUAGAGUGCGGUAGGGGAGAUCGGAAUUCCUGGUGUAGCGGUGAAAUGCGCAGAUAUCAGGAGGAACACCGAUGGCGAAGGCAGCUCACUGGGACGGUACUGACGCUGAGGCGCGAAAGCGUGGGGAGCAAACAGG